UCAUCAUUGCAUCAUGCGCAUCAUCUGCAUUGCAUCGGCAUCUCCGUUGCCGCCAGUUUUAAAACUUGCAUCCGUCGUUAGUUGCCGGUUCCCGUCGUUGUUCGUUCCGAGCCUGACCGCACGCGCCCACGGCACCGUCGAAACCCUGUUUUAAAAGUGUGCGUAAAACUUUCUCUGAUCGAGGUGAAACUUGGCAUGCGGUCAUAAUUUGUUUUAGUUAGGCCGCUUGUCAAAUUUCGUCGCGAUCGGAGUCCGUCUGGUACCCGAACGAUCGACCGUAGCGGCACAGUACUCGGUAUACCGUCGGACGUCUUUCGAUGUUGUUAAUUACGUUGUCGGGUCGCCCGUUUUUCCUCUCAUCUUCGCCUAGCCCCUCUGCACAGUUCGUGGACCCAACGCGCGGCCAGUCCGAAAACCUCCCGGAACCCGAACCGGGCGGUCGUAACCGUUGGAUCCGAAUCAACCCCGUUUUACUGCAAAUCGUCAUCGGUUUGUUCAUUAG
rnacentral:lncRNA from 1 species